rnacentral:rRNA from 1 species
UACGUAGGGUGCGAGCGUUGUCCGGAAUUAUUGGGCGUAAAGAGCUCGUAGGCGGUCUGUCGCGUCGAAUGUGAAAACCCGGGGCUCAACUCCGGGCUUGCAUUCGAUACGGGCAGACUAGAGUUCGGUAGGGGAGACGUGGAAUUCCUGGUGUAGCGGUGAAAUGCGCAGAUAUCAGGAGGAACACCGAUGGCGAAGGCAGGUCUCUGGGCCGAUACUGACGCUGAGGAGCGAAAGCGUGGGGAGCGAACAGG